rnacentral:rRNA from 1 species
AGCGAACGCUGGCGGUAGGCCUAACACAUGCAAGUCGAACGGCAGCACUGUAAGAGCUUGCUCUUACGGGUGGUGAGUGGGGGGCGGGUGAGGAAUACAUCGGAAUCUACUUUUUCGUGGGGGAUAACGUAGGGAAACUUACGCUAAUACCGCAUACGACCUACGGGUGAAAGCAGGGGAUCUUCGGACCUUGCGCGUUUGAAUGAGCCGAUGUCGGAUUCGUUCGUUGGCGGGGUAAUGGCCCACCACGGCGAGGAACCGUAGCUGGUCUGAGGGGUGGGUCAGCUACCUGGGAAGUGAGACACGGUCCAGACUCCUACGGGAGGCAGCAGUGGGGAAUAUUGGACGAAGGGGGAGAGCGUGAUCCAGGCAUACGGCGUGGGUGCAGAACCCGCUCGGGUGGUAAAGCCCUGUUGUUGGUAAGGAAGAGCAGCCGUUUAGUACCCCGCGGUUCUGACGGUACCCGAAGAAGAAGCACCGGCUAACUUCGUG